rnacentral:rRNA from 1 species
ACGGGGGGGGCAAGCGUUGUUCGGAAUUACUGGGCGUAAAGGGCUCGUAGGCGGCCAACUAAGUCCGACGUGAAAUCCCCAGGCUUAACCUGGGAACUGCGUCGGAUACUGGAUGGCUUGAAUUCGGGAGAGGGAUGCAGAAUUCCAGGUGUAGCGGUGAAAUGCGUAGAUAUCUGGAGGAAUACCGGUGGCGAAGGCGGCAUCCUGGACCAUAACUGACGCUGAUGCACGAAAGCUAGGGGAGCAAACAGGA